AGAGUUUGAUCCUGGCUCAGAACGAACGCUGGCGGCAGGCCUAACACAUGCAGUCGAGCGCGCCUUUCGGGGGUGAGCGGCGGACGGGUGAGUAACGCGUGGGAAUAUGCCCUUUGCUGCGGAAUAGCCUCGGGAAACUGAGAGUAAUACCGCAUACGCCCUUUCGGGGGGAAAGAUUUAUCGGCGAAGGAUUAGCCCGCGUUGGAUUAGGUAGUUGGUGGGGUAAUGGCCUACCAAGCCGACGAUCCAUAGCUGGUUUGAGAGGAUGAUCAGCCACACUGGGACUGAGACACGGCCCAGACUCCUACGGGAGGCAGCAGUGGGGAAUCUUAGACAAUGGGGGCAACCCUGAUCUAGCCAUGCCGCGUGAGUGAUGAAGGCCUUAGGGUUGUAAAGCUCUUUCAGCUGGAAAGAUAAUGACGGUACCAGCAGAAGAAGCCCCGGCUAACUCCGUG
rnacentral:rRNA from 1 species